rnacentral:rRNA from 1 species
AGUGAACGCUGGCGGUAGGCCUAACACAUGCAAGUCGAACGGCAGCACAGUAAGAGCUUGCUCUUACGGGUGGCGAGUGGCGGACGGGUGAGGAAUACAUCGGAAUCUACUUUUUCGUGGGGGAUAACGUAGGGAAACUUACGCUAAUACCGCAUACGACCUACGGGUGAAAGCAGGGGAUCUUCGGACCUUGCGCGAUUGAAUGAGCCGAUGUCGGAUUAGCUAGUUGGCGGGGUAAAGGCCCACCAAGGCGACGAUCCGUAGCUGGUCUGAGAGGAUGAUCAGCCACACUGGAACUGAGACACAGUCCAGACUCCUACGGGAGGCAGCAGUGGGGAAUAUUGGACAAUGGGCGCAAGCCUGAUCCAGCCAUACCGCGUGAGUGAAGAAGGCCUUCGGGUUGUAAAGCCCUUUUGUUGGGAAAGAAAAGCAGCAGGUUAAUACCCCGCUGUUCUGACGGUACCCAAAGAAUAAGCACCGGCUAACUUCGUG